AUGCUUUCAAGUCACAGAGAGCCCAGUACACUAAAGAGAACGGCUCCAGCAUCAGCCUCAAAGUCACCCUGGAGCCCAGAAUCAGAGGGGCAGGAGAAAAACUAGAAACAACCCAAAUGUCCAAGAGACAGUUACAUAAGGCAUCAUACAGCUGAACGAGAACGCAGGUGCAGUCAUUCAAAUGAGGAUGCUGGUUACGUGUAUUACAGGAAAGUCCUCACAAUACACAGAAACAAGGAGACACAGGGAAACUACAGGAGGGAAAAAGGAAAGAUGGAAGCCACACCAAGGAGGAGAGAGAAGCUUUCGAUGAUGAACCAAGAACGUCAUAGAGUUGGAAUCCUACAGUAUGUAGCCUUUUCAGAUCGGCCUUGUUCACUUGGUAAUAUGCAUUGCUGGGAAAGCUGUACGAGGUCUGGAGCGCGGGGCAUCCCGGGAUCAGCUCCCUGCUGCCACAACCCCACUGGUGUUAUUAGUAUCCUCAUCAGAAUGACGUCUUUUCCAGCAGCUUGUUUCUAGCACGUUUCUGAGUUUCUACAGCCCGUCCAGAUCUAGGCCCCUGGUCACAUCCCAGAGCCACCCCCACCACAGACACAAGGCCCCUCAGUGCCAGGCCCCCUUGGUGGAUCUCAAAUGGUUUUGCAUAAGCCCCACCCCACAUAAGGCAGCAGAAGCAGGCUCUUACCCUAUUCGGCAGAUGGGCAGGCUGUGGCUCAGAGAAGCUGAGUGGCUGGCAUAAAAUGGCACAGGAUCUCCUCUACAACCACCUACAACCACCCUCCAUACAGCAAGCCCCUCAGCUUCCCUUUCCACCCAAAGGUCUGGCUCCCACUCUUGGAUGAAGAGAAGGAGCGUCUGAACCCAAAAUUCCUUACAGCACAAUAGACAACUGAAAAACAACUCAACAGAAUUUUAAUUAUUCACAGAAAACGUGUACUGUGUACAAGGUAUUGAUCAAAGAACUUUAUAAAUACUAACUCAUUUUCUCCUUAUAACUACCUUAAUGAAGCAGGUACAAUUAUUAUCCCCAUUUUAUAGGUGAGGAAACUGAGGCAGGGAGAGAGUAACUGGCCCAGGGCCACACAGCUAGGAGGCCAGAGAGCCGGCAGUGGCCCACACUUUUAGACACUGCACUCUGCUACCUGCGGAUUUUUUGUUUGUACCAUUUUCCAGUUAUUAAUUUUUAAACAGUUUUAUUGAGGUAUAAUUUAAUGGUGUAAUUUAACUUAAGAUUUACCCAUUUUAAGUGUACAAUUAAAUGAUUUCAGUUAAUUUAUAGAAUUGUGCAACCAUUAUAACGAACCAAUUUUGGCACAUUUCCAUCAUCCCAGAAAAGAUCCUUUAUGUCCACUUCCUGUCACUGUUUCAACCUCCAGCCUGAGGCAACCACUAAUCUACUUUCUGUCUCUGUAGAUUUGCCUCUUCUGGAAACUUCAUAAUAAUGAAGUCAGAGAAUGUUGGGUCUUUUGAGUCUGUUUUUGAGGUUGUUCGUUGGGGUAGCAUGUGUCAGCACGUCAUUCCUUUUCAUUGCUGACUAAUAGUCUGUCGUGUGGCUAUCCCACAUUUUGUCUAUCCAUUCA
ensembl:lncRNA